UACGGAGGAUGCAAGCGUUAUCCGGAUUCAUUGGGUUUAAAGGGUGCGUAGGCGGACUAUUAAGUCAGUGGUGAAAGCCUGCAGCUUAACUGCAGAACUGCCAUUGAUACUGAUAGUCUUGAGUUUGGUUAAGGUAGGCGGGAUGUGUAAUGUAGCGGUGAAAUGCUUAGAUAUUACACAGAACACCGAUUGCGAAGGCAGCUUGCUGGGUCAUUACUGACGCCGAUGCACGAAAGCGUGGGGAGUCAAACA
rnacentral:rRNA from 1 species